UACGGAGGAUCCGAGCGUUAUCCGGAUUUAUUGGGUUUAAAGGGUGCGUAGGUGGCCUGUUAAGUCAGGGGUGAAAGACGGUAGCUCAACUAUCGCAGUGCCCUUGAUACUGAUGGGCUUGAAUGAACUAGAGGUAGGCGGAAUGUGACAAGUAGCGGUGAAAAUGCAUAGAUAUGUCACAGAACACCAAUUGCGAAGGCAGCUUACUAUGGUUUUUAUUGACACUGAGGCACGAAAAGCGUGGGGGAUCAAACAGG
rnacentral:rRNA from 1 species